CCGACUGAGCUAGAUCCCGCCCACACAAUUAUGACGCCAUAAACGCUCUGACGUAACGUUAGAUUGCUUAACGACAGAAAUGGAUGUGUUUAUUCAGUAUUAAAACAACCUUUCUUUCUGUAUUUACUGGUUUUGAGAAUUGCUAUAAAAAGAUUUCUUCAGUGGGCUCUCUACAUCCUGUCGAUUGUUGUAGAUUUCGUCCGGGUCCUCCCCUGGAGUGACAGUACACUGUAGAGGUAUGCCAGUAUUGGGAAGUGGUUUGUCGUUUUCCAUCGCUGAGCACGAGUAUUACAGAGGAUGAAACCCGAAUGACUAAAAAAAGAAAAACUGUGUUGCUGUGUUCAGAACUGUGAGUACAUGGCUGGGAAAGGAUGGCAAGUCUAUUAAUUCUGGUAACAUCUGACGAUGAAUACAUGAGAUAAAUUAAA